CAAAGCACUAAGAUCUUUUGAUUAAAACUUAAAGAGCAUGGCGGCCACAAAAAAGUUUAGGGGAACUUACCAAGUAAUAGACAACCCACAAGUUACCCUCCUUGAUUUAGAGUCUGUAUACCGCCGUCUAAGUACUACUUAUGGUAGUGCUAAAGUAAACAAAUUAAUAAGACAGGCCAUGGUGCAGCUAAUAAUCAAGUUUAGGCGAGUUACAAUAAAAACUUUUUUUUCCAAAAAUUUUAAAAAUUUCUAAGAAGUGGACUUAAAAGUAAAAAUUAACAGAAAUAUAGUUUGAAUUAAUAAUUUUGUGGUGC
rnacentral:rRNA from 1 species